rnacentral:rRNA from 1 species
GAUGAACGCUGGCGGCGUGCCUAAUACAUGCAAGUCGAGCGAACAGACGAGGAGCUUGCUCCUCUGACGUUAGCGGCGGACGGGUGAGUAACACGUGGAUAACCUACCUAUAAGACUGGGAUAACUUCGGGAAACCGGAGCUAAUACCGGAUAAUAUAUUGAACCGCAUGGUUCAAUAGUGAAAGACGGUUUUGCUGUCACUUAUAGAUGGAUCCGCGCCGCAUUAGCUAGUUGGUAAGGUAACGGCUUACCAAGGCAACGAUGCGUAGCCGACCUGAGAGGGCGAUCGGCCACACUGGAACUGAGACACGGUCCAGACUCCUACGGGAGGCAGCAGUAGGGAAUCUUCCGCAAUGGGCGAAAGCCUGACGGAGCAACGCCGCGCGAGUGAUGAAGGUCUUCGGAUCGUAAAACUCUGUUAUUAGGGAAGAACAAAUGUGUAAGUAACUAUGCACGUCUUGACGGUACCUAAUCAGAAAGCCACGGCUAACUACGUG